UUAUUGCGCUCUUACUCAGGAUGAGAUUGAAGCUGCUCGAAUGGCAGCGAUCAAUAAGUAAAUUAAGCGUGUAUUGACUGAAGUCUUUUUGAAGGUUUUAUUCUUGACUUGAUCAUCUUGUUUACUGUUUACAUUAUUGAAUUCGUCUAAGAGGUGCAAGGUUAUUUCUGAUUGGUUAGCUUCUUACCCCUUUUUCAUCACAUACAGAAUCGGCUAUCUUAAGGUCAGUGUCCCUUCAUAAUUGUUAGCACAUUUUAUAUAACAAUAUGUACUGUGGUUGAGAGCACACAGUCGGAUGCUUUUUAUAUUUCCAAGGAAUUUUGUGUUCUCUAUAAGUUGUAGCAUCUAACUAUGUAACUUGAUGUUAUAGAUUCAAUCACAAAAAAUAUUUAAGCAUAUGAAUACUGAAAUAAUUGAUUGGUUGUAGGCUGGGCAAAAGGUUCGUGAAGAAAGUGAAAGGCUGCGAGUCUGCGACAGCAGGAACGUGAGCAAAUUGCAAUGAAACGUAAGCGUGAAAUGAUGCUUUGCCCUCGUGUCCCGGCUAAGGCAGAAGAAAAGUGGUUGGAGCUGUUGUACAUUCAGUGGAUUGAGCAUCAUAUAUGGUUGUCCAAUUUCUUAAGGCAACUUUGCUGCUUUGCAUCAUUCUUCACUUUGACUUAGAAACAAGUAUCGUUUCAUGAAACAAGUAUCAUUUCAUGUUAUGUAAAGGAAUUGUUCAGUUCUCUUUAUCUUUCUUGUGAUAAGUGCAGAGCAUAUUCCUUGGUUAUGGAUAUGUGUAUUGGGUAACUGGGCAUUCACAUUUUGUAUUUGUUGUUGCAAGGUCCAUAUGGAUAGUCCGGCUGAUCUCGGUAUCUCUGAUAGGCUGUCUUUCAUUGCUGAAAACUUUUGUGCCCGUUGUUAUCUCUGAUAGCCUGUUGUUCAUUGCUUGAUAUUUGUUUCAUAUAUUAUCUUUGGUGUUUGUGUCUCCACAUGAGUACAGGAGGCAAAAUAAUCAUCCACUUUGAGCUCAUUUUAAUAAAUCUUCUCAAGACAUAAAAGUCUUGCGACUAUAUGCAACAUUUCCUCUGCCUGGCAGUGCAAAGCUUGCUUGCUUAUUUUUCUUCUGUUGUUUGAUCAUCUUCUAUCUUCUGAAAUCUCGUCUUUUUUUAGGCUAGCAGAGGACUUGGUCUCACAACACAUAUUAUUGAUCACUGCAAGCUGGUACUUAAACUUCCUGAAGGGACCAAUAGCACCUAGUAUAAUGCUCAGUUC
rnacentral:lncRNA from 1 species